rnacentral:rRNA from 1 species
GACGAACGCUGGCGGCGUGCCUAAUACAUGCAAGUCGAACGCAGUGGGGACGGGUGAGUAACACGUGGGUAACCUCCCAUCAGAGGGGAUAACACUUGGAAACAGGUGCUAUACCGACACUGAUGGAUGGACAUGCGGUGCAUUAGCUAGUUGGUGAGGUAAAGGCUCACCAAGGCCACGAGGCAUAGCCGACCUGAGAGGGGGAUAGGCCACACUGGAACUGGAACACGGCCCAGACACCGACGGGAGGCAGCAGUAGGGAAUCUUCGGAAAUGGACGAAAGUCUGACCGAGCAACGCCGCGUGAGUAAGGAAGUUUUUCGGAUCUUAAAACUCUGUUGUUGGAGAAGCGGUAUCUAACCAGAAAGCCACGGCUAACUACGUGCCAGCAGCCGCGGUAAUAC